rnacentral:rRNA from 1 species
AACGAACGCUGACGGUGUGCCUCAUACAUGCAAGUCGAGCGGGCUCAGCAAUGGGUCAGCGGCGGACGGGUGAGUAACACGUGAACAAUCUGCCCUCGAAUUUGGGAUAACAGCUCCAACGAGUUGCUAAUACCGGAUAGGUUAAUUUGGCCUCCUGGUCGAAUUAAGAAAGGUCCAAUUGGAUCGUUCGAGGAUGAGUUCGCGGCCCAUUAGCUAGUUGGCGGGGUAAUGGCCCACCAAGGCGACGAUGGGUAGCCGGCCUGAGAGGGUGAUCGGCCACAUUGGGACUGAGAUACGGCCCAGACUCCUACGGGAGGCAGCAGUAGGGAAUUUUGCGCAAUGGACGAAAGUCUGACGCAGCAACACCGUGUGAGGGAUGAAGCAUUUCGGUGUGUAAACCUCUGUCGAUGAUGAAUAAAGCAUGUGGGAGUGGAAAGCCCAUGUGUUGAAGGUAAUCAUGAAGGAAGCACCGGCUAACUACG